rnacentral:pre_miRNA from 1 species
CAACUACUCCCUCUGUCCCAAAUUUCUUGUCUUAGAUUUGUCUAGAUACGGAUGUAUCUAAUACUAAAAUGUGACUUGAUACAUCCGUAUCUAGACAAAUCUAAGACAAGAAUUUUGGGACGGUGGGAGUACUUU